rnacentral:misc_RNA from 1 species
GAUGAAGAACGCAGCGAAAUGCGAUACUUGGUGUGAAUUGCAGAAUCCCGUGAACCAUCGAGUCUUUGAACGCAAGUUGCGCCCGAAGCUAUUAGGCCGAGGGCACGCCUGCCUGGGCGUCACACGUCGUUGCCCCCCCAUCUACUCCUUCGGGAUUGCGGGGGGCGGAUGAUGGCCUCCCGUGCGCCUCGUCGCGCGGUUGGCAUAAAUGCCAAGUCCUCGGCGACGCACGCCACGACAAUCGGUGGUUGCGAAACCUCGGUUGCCCGUCGUGUGCGGUCGUCGCGCAUCGAGGGCUCGAAAAAAUUGCCGGGCUCCGGCUCGGCUUUCAACGCGACCCCAGGUCAGGCGGGGUUACCCGCUGAAUUUAAGCAUAUCAAUAAGCGGAGGA